rnacentral:rRNA from 1 species
GGGGAAUAUUCCGCAAUGGACGCAAGUCUGACGGAGCAACGCCGCGUGAGUGAUGAAGGUUUUCGGACUGUAAAGCUCUGUUGUUUAGGACGAAAGUGCCUGUUGCGAACAGUUACAGGUAUUGACGGUACUAAACGAGGAAGCCACGGCUAACUACGUGCCAGCAGCCGCGGUAAUACGUAGGUGGCAAGCGUUGUCCGGAAUUAUUGGGCGUAAAGAGCAUGUAGGCGGAGAUUUAAGUCUGUUGUGAAAAUGCGGGGCUCAACCCCGUAUUGCGAUGGAAACUGAAUUUCUUAAGUGCAGGAGAGGAAAGGGGAAUUCCCAGUGUAGCGGUGAAAUGCGUAGAUAUUGGGAGGAACACCAGUGGCGAAGGCGCCUUUCUGGACUGUGUCUGACGCUGAGAUGCGAAAGCCAGGGUAGCGAACGG